rnacentral:tRNA from 1 species
GCCCGAGUGGUGAAAUUGGCAGACACGCAGGUCUCAGAAGCCUGUGACCGAAAGGUUGUGCUGGUUCAAGUCCAGUCUCGGGCA